rnacentral:piRNA from 2 species
UGGGAAGCAGCUACAUUCAGGACUGCUGGU